AGAACGAACGCUGGCGGCAGGGUUAACACAUGCAAGUCGAACGCCCUCUUCGGAGGGAGUGGCAGACGGGUGAGUAACACGCUGGGAACCUACCUAGGGGUACGGAAUAACUCGGGGAAACUCGUGCUAAUACCGUAUACGACCUUCGGGUGAAAGAUUUAUCGCCCCUAGAUGGGCCCGCGCUGGAUUAGCUAGUUGGUGGGGUAAAAGCCUACCAAGGCGACGAUCCAUAGCAUGGUCUGAGAGGAUGAUCAGCCACACUGGGACUGAGACACGGCCCAGACUCCUACGGGAGGCAGCAGUGGGGAAUCUUGGACAAUGGGGGAAACCCUGAUCCAGCCAUGCCGCGUGAGUGAUGAAGGCCCUAGGGUUGUAAAACUCUUUCGCCAGAGAAGAUAAUGACAGUACCUGGAUAAAGAAGCCCCGGCUAACUCCGUGCCAGCAGCCGCGGUAAUACGAAGGGGGCUAGCGUUGUUCGGAAUUACUGGGCGUAAAGCGCACGUAGGCGGACUUUUAAGUCAGGUGUGAAAUCCCGGGGCUCAACCUCGGAACUGCAUUUGAAACUGGAAGUCUGGAGUUCAGGAGAGGUUAGCGGAAUACCGAGUGUAGAGGUGAAAUUCGUAGAUAUUCGGUGGAACACCAGUGGCGAAGGCGGCUAACUGGACUGAUACUGACGCUGAGGUGCGAAAGUGUGGGGAGCAAACAGGAUUAGAUACCCUGGUAGUCCACACCGUAAACGAUGACAGCUAGUUGUUGGCAGGCAUGCCUGUCGGUGACGCAGCUAACGCAUUAAGCUGUCCGCCUGGGGGAGUACGGCCGCAAGGUUAAAAACUCAAAGAAAUUGACGGGGGGGCCCGCACAAGCGGUGGAGCAUGUGGGUUUUAAUUCGAAAGCAACGCGCAGAAACCUUUACCCUACCCCUGGAC
rnacentral:rRNA from 1 species